UGAGUAUCAUUAAUAAAUUAAUAAAACACUGAAAACCAGUGGUGCACACAGAAAAGGGCUUUGUUGCCUUUGGGGGGGUGCGCAGUGCCCUCUAGAGUAAGGAGGUUCUACACUC
rnacentral:snoRNA from 14 species